rnacentral:rRNA from 1 species
GACGAACCGUGCGAACGUUGUUCGGAAUCACUGGGUUUAAAGGGCGCGUAGGCGGGCUGUCAAGUCGGUGGUGAAAUCUUUCAGCUUAACUGGAAAAUGGCCUUCGAUACUGGCGGUCUGGAGGAAGGUAGGGGCAUGCGGAACUUCCGGUGGAGCGGUGAAAUGCGUUGAGAUCGGAAGGAACGCCCGUGGCGAAAGCGAGCCCCUGGACGUCUACUGACGCUGAGACGCGAAAGCCAGGGGAGCGAACGGG